GACGAACGCUGGCGGCGUGCCUAAUACAUGCAAGUAGAACGCAGUUGCGAACGGGUGAGUAACGCGUAGGUAACUGCCUGGUAGCGGGGGAGAACUAUUGGAAACGAUAGCUAAUACCGCUUACUCCCAGAUGGACCUGCGUUGUAUUAGCUAGUUGGUGGGGUAACGGCGAACCAAGGCAACGAUCCAUAGCCGACCUGGGAGGGGGGUCGGCCACAAGGGACCUGCGAAACGGCCCAGAAUCCCCAGGGACGCAGCAGUAGGGAAUCCUGCGCAAUGGACGGAACUCUGACCGAGCAACGCCGCGUGAAUGAAGAAGGUGUUCGGAACGUAAAGCUCUGUUGUAAGAGAAGCGGUAUCUAACCAGAAAGGGACGGCUAACUACGUGCCAGCCGCCGCGGUGAUUC
rnacentral:rRNA from 1 species